CAGUCGUACCGGCGGAUAAUCAGCCUUUCGGGUGCGAUUCUGUGGGGCGUGAGGAGCUUAACCGCCUUCAUGUUUUACAUAUUCGUGCACUUUGGGUGUACUUGCUUGUGUGUAGGUUAACAUCAAUUUUGAUUAUCAUAAAAUGAUUGGAGGAAUGUAGCUUCAAUCUCGUAUUGCAGUGUUAAGCCUUUGGGAUGUGAUGAUCGAGAUUGGAGGAUUGCAACGGAUACCCUUCGGGGCUACCCGUCUGAU
rnacentral:rRNA from 1 species